rnacentral:lncRNA from 1 species
AGCUGGUGUCGGUUAGCGUCUCAUGCCGCUGGCCAGGCAGGCGGUGUAAUUAGUGGGGAGACGUGGGUUGGUCGGAUACCAGGUUUCUGACCUUACGCUCACCCUCUUCAAGGGAACUUGGCUUUUCUUGCAGGGUUUUCUCUGCUGGUCGAGCACCCGCUAGCGUCCGCUGCCCGCCCUGCCAGACAGCUGUGCUUUCCUGUCCUAGGCCAGAAAACUGCUUACGCGCGCCGGCAGGGUCCUGCCAGACUCUGGGAGGGGGUUGGAGCGGCUGCAGGGACAGCCAGGCUCCGAGACAGUUGCUGUGUGCCCCUAAAUCCACGUGCCGCUGCACUAACCCCCAGCAUCUGCCAACAUGACCCUAUCUGGAGAUAGGUCUUUAUAGACGGACCAUCAAGAGGAACCGUGACCCAGUAGGGCCUGGGCCCUCAGAGUUAACAUCUCACAGAGCAGCGCUGGGUCCUGAGAACCUUCCGGAUCCUUCGUGCUUCCCAACACCCCCACGGCGGCGGCCGGGAGCAAAGCAGUCACCAGAAAAGGUGUGGCUGGAUUUGCUGUGCCGUUGCUGCUGCUCUCAGUGACAGCCCCUCAAUCACCCUGCGAAGGAACACGCUUCAUAACACCCAUCCACGGGGGUAGCCCUGCGUUUCCCCCUAAAAAGAGCAGCGUCUGGGCGUCAGGAGGGCCGUGCCUGCGGGGCUGGCGAACCGAGGAUGUGUGUCUUGGCCGGCAGAUGCUCCAGGUUUUGGUACACCUGUUCUCAUUUGCAUAAAGCAGAGUGACCCGGGGAGGG